rnacentral:rRNA from 1 species
GAUGAACGCUGGCGGCGUGCCUAAUACAUGCAAGUCGAGCGAACGGACGAGAAGCUUGCUUCUCUGAUGUUAGCGGCGGACGGGUGAGUAACACGUGGAUAACCUACCUAUAAGACUGGGAUAACUUCGGGAAACCGGAGCUAAUACCGGAUAAUAUUUUGAACCGCAUGGUUCAAAAGUGAAAGACGGUCUUGCUGUCACUUAUAGAUGGAUCCGCGCUGCAUUAGCUAGUUGGUAAGGUAACGGCUUACCAAGGCAACGAUGCAUAGCCGACCUGAGAGGGUGAUCGGCCACACUGGAACUGAGACACGGCCCAGACUCCUACGGGAGGCAGCAGUAGGGAAUCUUCCGCAAUGGGCGAAAGCCUGACGGAGCAACGCCGCGUGAGUGAUGAAGGUCUUCGGAUCGUAAAACUCUGUUAUUAGGGAAGAACAUAUGUGUAAGUAACUGUGUACAUCUUGACGGUACCUAAUCAGAAAGCCACGGCUAACUACGUG